GAUGAACGCUGGCGGCGUGCCUAAUACAUGCAAGUCGAGCGAACAGACGAGGAGCUUGCUCCUCUGACGUUAGCGGCGGACGGGUGAGUAACACGUGGAUAACCUACCUAUAAGACUGGGAUAACUUCGGGAAACCGGAGCUAAUACCGGAUAAUAUAUUGAACCGCAUGGUUCAAUAGUGAAAGACGGCUUUGCUGUCACUUAUAGAUGGAUCCGCGCCUGAUUAGCUAGUUGGUAAGGUAACGGCUUACCAAGGCAACGAUGCGUAGCCGGACUGAGAGGGUGAUCGGCCACACUGGAACUGAGACACGGUCCAGACUCCUACGGGAGGCAGCAGUAGGGAAUCUUCCGCAAUGGGCGAAAGCCUGACGGAGCAACGCCGCGUGAGUGAUGAAGGUCUUCGGAUCGUAAACCGCUGUUAUUAGGGAAGAACAGAUGUGUAAGUAACUAUGCACGUCUUGACGGUACCUAAUCAGAAAGCCACGGCUAACUACGUG
rnacentral:rRNA from 1 species